CGACCUCAGAUCAAGCGCGAAUACCCGCUGAACUUAAGCAUAUCAGUAAGCGGAGGAAAAGAAACUAACCAGGAUUCUCCUAGUAAAGGCGAUUGAACGGAGAUUAGCCCAAUGUCGAAGGUUGGAUGCUUUUGUAUCCUGACCAAUGUGACAUAAAGACGUGUAGCUUUGGAACCCUUUUCACUGAAAGUCCAACUCCGAUUCCGGCUGUUGAACAUGUCCAUAGCGGGUGAAAGACCCGUUCCAGUGAAAUUGUGCGUCCAGUCGUCUACACGUCAACGAGUCGGAUUGCUUGAGAAUGCAGUCCAAAGUGGGUGGUAAACUCCAUCCAAGGCUAAAUACUGGCGCGAGUCCGAUAGUAGACAAGUACCGUGAGGGAAAGUUGAAAAGUACUCUGAAGAGAGAGUAAAUAGUACGUGAAACCGGUUGCAGGGAAGCUGGUGGAGUCAAGCUUUUUGCUUGUGGGACUCUGGGCUCGUCUUUGUUGUGUAAUUGCAUUUGGUCGUUCCAUGUGAAAACCAUGGGCCAUAACUUUGUGGUACGAGUGCUACAGGGAAGUGGUAUUGUCAGUGACCGACUGCUUUGGACGAGUUCAGUUAUCCUGCUUGCAUACGGCACAGUGGAUAUGUGCGGUUGCGAUGGUUGACUAACUGUUCCAUGGUGGGUUUCGUGCCCAUCGGGUUCAGAAUGGCAGUAGGUGACAGUGCUCUCGGGUAUCUGUUGCUUAUACUGGCUUCGGCCUGCUGUUGACCAUUGGCGGCUGCGGUAUUCUGUCUGUUUCGUUGGGCCAGUUGCGAGACUGGUGCAAUGUAAGAA
rnacentral:rRNA from 1 species